rnacentral:rRNA from 1 species
UGGGGAAUAUUGCACAAUGGGCGCAAGCCUUAUGCAGCCAUGCCGCGUGUAUGAAGAAGGCCUUCGGGUUGUAAAGUACUUUCAGCGGGGAGUAAGGGAGUAAAGUUAAUACCUUUGCUCAUUGACGUUACCCGCAGAAGAAGCACCGGCUAACUCCGUGCCAGCAGCCGCGGUAAUACGGAGGGUGCAAGCGUUAAUCGGAAUUACUGGGCGUAAAGCGCACGCAGGCGGUUUGUUAAGUCAGAUGUGAAAUCCCCGGGCUCAACCUGGGAACUGCAUCUGAUACUGGCAAGCUUGAGUCUCGUAGAGGGGGGUAGAAAUCCAGGUGUAGCGGUGAAAUGCGUAGAGAUCUGGAGGAAUACCGGUGGCGAAGGCGGCCCCCUGGACGAAGACUGACGCUCAGGUGCGAAAGCGUGGGGAGCAAACAGG